rnacentral:lncRNA from 1 species
AAUAACUAUUAUCUCAAGCCCAACCCCUGCUAUAGUCCUUUAGGUAUCGUUUGGUUCGAGAAUAAGCAAAAAGUGGGUAUUCCGGGGAUAGGUAUAAAUUGAGGUAUAAGCGGGGAUUAGAUCAAUUUUGCGUUUGGAUGAAAAUUGGGUUAUUCCUGAAAAUAAGAAAAAUAGCGUUUGGUUAGGUAAGAUGGAAUAAGAAUUAAAGUGGGUAGUUAUAAAUAAAAAAUAAUAAUAUUAUUCUUUUCUUUAUAUUAGAAUUAGAAUUUUUAUAUUUUAUAUUUAUAUUUUAAAAUUUUAAAUAUAAACUUUUAAAUUUUAAAAAUCAAAAUUAAAUUUUAAAAUUUUAAAAUAUCAAAUUUAUAAUUUUAAAAAAUUAAUUUAUCAUGAAUAUUAUUAGAUAAUCAUAAAUGUUAAUUAAUACAUUAAUUACCAGAUUAAUUAAUCAUUAAUCAAUUAACCAUGAGUACUGUUAAUUAAUAAAUUAUAUAACUAUAAAUAAUUUAAUAAGUUAACAAAUUAGGCUAAUAAAUUAAUAUAUUAGUAAAUUAAUUAAUUAAUUAAUUAUUUAAUUAGUUAUGUUGGUAAAAAUAUUAAUUUAUUAAUCAAUAAAAAUAUUAGUUAUUUCAUAAACAUGCUAAUAAAUAAUUAUUAAUUUAGCUAAUAUUUUAUUAUUAAAUUAGUUAAUUUUUAAUUUAGCUAAUUAGUUAAUAAAAUAAUAUAUAUAAUAUAUUAAUUAAUAAUAUUUUAUUAUUAAACUAGUAGAGGUAUAAAGAGAAAAAUUUGCUAUUCCACCAAAAGGGUGGAACAACAAAUCUCCCCUCUUAACGGGUUAUUCUAGAAUAACCCGUUAAGAGGGGAAUAAAAUAAACUCACUUCCUCUUAUAGUGUUUGGAUGAAUUAGAGGGAUAAAGUGGUCUAUUCCUACUUUAUCCCCCAACCAAACAAUGCCUUAGAGUUUAGACCACCUCUGUCGACAAAUGGCAAGUGAUAUCGCUUUAGAUGGAAAUUCACGAUACUCGAUCGACCAAAUAACACAAGUUUAAGGACCAGCAUAUUCGUAAGAAAUAUAAAUAUAACUAGCUAUUUUUAUAGUGGUAGAAUAUAAAGUUUGAUCUUAAUUAGGUUCUGAUAUUGUUUUUUUUUUUUUGAGAAUAGGUAGCUAGCGCGCUAUCUGCUUCAUUCAUUGAAAAUAUGAAUUAGGCUACAGGGGUGAGACAACCAUGGCCUCGAGAUAGGAAAAAAAAAAAAAAAAAAAGUCAUAAAAAGUCAUAAAAAGCCCUUCCAAAAAUCAAUCGGCUGUUUGAGCCUACGCACCACCAAGUCCGGGUCUACUUGUACGUUACGGAAGAUUAAGUUGUUUCUGGCCUUCCAGAUAGUCCACCAGCAUGCAGCCAAAUCAGCCAAUCCGUUUCUCCUGUUUUGUGCACCAUAUCGUCCCUUUCGCCUAUUCCAGAUAGCAUGAACAUCAUCACCCAGGUCCUCCGGCUGGACAUCAUCGAGUCCCGAGACCAUGAUAAAUUUGAUAAAUACACAUUGAGGAACGGACCAGAUA